rnacentral:ncRNA from 1 species
GUCAUCGCGAGGUGGGGUCUGGAGGAAGCCCAACGCAAAUUGGCGGGGCGACGAACAGGAACUGGAUAUGAGGUGUGACGUACUCGGGGCGAGCUGGCACGUGACAGCGAAGCCCUCCAUCCGCAAUGGGGUGCGUUUUAUAAAUCCAGCGUCUACGCCAUGAAAGUCUAGUGU